rnacentral:rRNA from 1 species
GACGGAGGAUGCAAGCGUUAUCCGGAAUGAUUGGGCGUAAAGCGUCCGCAGGUGGCAGUUCAAGUCUGCUGUCAAAGACCGGGGCUUAACUUCGGAAAGGCAGUAGAAACUGAACAGCUAGAGUAUGGUAGGGGCAGAGGGAAUUCCUGGUGUAGCGGUGAAAUGCGUAGAGAUCAGGAAGAACAUCGGUGGCGAAGGCGCUCUGCUGGACCAUAACUGACACUCAGGGACGAAAGCUAGGGGAGCGAAAUGGG